GAUGAACGCUGGCGGCGUGCCUAAUACAUGCAGGUCGAGCGAACAGAUGAGAAGCUUGCUUCUCUGAUGUUAGCGGCGGACGGGUGAGUAACACGUGGGUAACCUACCUAUAAGACUGGGAUAACUCCGGGAAACCGGGGCUAAUACCGGAUAAUAUUUUGAACCGCAUGGUUCAAUAGUGAAAGACGGUUUCGGCUGUCACUUAUAGAUGGACCCGCGCCGUAUUAGCUAGUUGGUAAGGUAACGGCUUACCAAGGCGACGAUACGUAGCCGACCUGAGAGGGUGAACGGCCACACUGGAACUGAGACACGGUCCAGACUCCUAAGGGAGUCAGCAGUAGGGAAUCUUCCGCAAUGGGCGAAAGCCUGACGGAGCAACGCCGCGUGAGUGAUGAAGGUCUUCGGAUCGUAAAACUCUGUUGUUAGGGAAGAACAAAUUUGUUAGUAACUGAACAAGUCUUGACGGUACCUAACCAGAAAGCCACGGCUAACUACGUGCCAGCCGCCGCCGUAA
rnacentral:rRNA from 1 species